rnacentral:rRNA from 1 species
UACGGAGGGUGCUAGCGUUGUCCGGAUUUACUGGGCGUAAAGGGCGCGUAGGCGGUCAGCACAAGUCAGUUGUGAAAUCUCCGGGCUUAACUCGGAAAGGUCAACUGAUACUGUGCGACUAGAGUGCAGAAGGGGCAACUGGAAUUCUCGGUGUAGCGGUGAAAUGCGUAGAUAUCGAGAGGAACACCUGCGGCGAAGGCGGGUUGCUGGGCUGACACUGACGCUGAUGCGCGAAAGCCAGGGGAGCGAACGGG